rnacentral:rRNA from 1 species
CCUACGGGAGGCAGCAGUGAGGAAUAUUGGUCAAUGGACGAGAGUCUGAACCAGCCAAGUAGCGUGAAGGAUGACUGCCCUAUGGGUUGUAAACUUCUUUUAUAUGGGAAUAAAAUGUUCCACGUGUGGGAUUUUGUAUGUACCAUAUGAAUAAGGAUCGGCUAACUCCGUGCCAGCAGCCGCGGUAAUACGGAGGAUCCGAGCGUUAUCCGGAUUUAUUGGGUUUAAAGGGGGCGUAGGUGGAUUGUUAAGUCAGGUGUGAAAGUUUGCGGCUCAACCGUAAAAUUGCAGUUGAAACUGGCAGUCUUGAGUACAGUAGAGGUGGGCGGAAUUCGUGGUGUAGCGGUGAAAUGCUUAGAUAUCACGAAGAACUCCGAUUGCGAAGGCAGUUCACUGGACUGCAACUGACACUGAGGCUCGAAAGUGUGGGUAUCAAACAGGAUUAGAUACCCGAGUAGUC